AGGGUUGUUGCAGACAUUUAAGAAGGAUCACCAGUUCCACAAGAAGAUGGUGAAUGUAAUGGGAGGAUCUUCUUCAAGUGGGUAUCGUCCCUUUAAGAAAGGAAAGAAGAGAAAGAAAAAUAAUAAGGUGCCAAGUGCUGGGAGUCAGACCAUAAAGUCUAUGUCCAAGUCUGACUUGAGUCAGGUAGAGUGCUUCUAUUGUAAGAAGCAAGAUUAUUGAAAGAGGAAC
rnacentral:lncRNA from 1 species